AGUGAACGCUGGCGGUAGGCCUAACACAUGCAAGUCGAACGGCAGCACAGUAAGAGCUUGCUCUUACGGGUGGCGAGUGGCGGACGGGUGAGGAAUACAUCGGAAUCUACUUUUUCGUGGGGGAUAACGUAGGGAAACUUACGCUAAUACCGCAUACGACCUACGGGUGAAAGCAGGGGAUCUUCGGACCUUGCGCGAUUGAAUGAGCCGAUGUCGGAUUAGCUAGUUGGCGGGGUAAAGGCCCACCAAGGCGACGAUCCGUAGCUGGUCUGAGAGGAUGAUCAGCCACACUGGAACUGCAACACGGUCCAGACUCCUACGGGAGGCAGCAGUGUGGAAUAUUGGACAAUGGGCGCAAGCCUGAUCCAGCCAUACCGCUUGGGUGAAGAAGGCCUUCGGGUUGUAAAGCCCUUUUGUUGGGAAAGAAAAGCAGCAGGUUAAUACCCCGCUGUUCUGACGGUACCCAAAGAAUAAGCACCGGCUAACUUCGUG
rnacentral:rRNA from 1 species